GCUGAACACCUGCAGAAACGAUUGUUCAAAUUCCUAAAGAAUUUAGCGGAACAAAUCGGCAAGUCAAUCAAAAAAUUUUUCCAAGGAUCAAACCCUGGUGCUCCGGCUGAGUGACCCACUGACGCUCUGCUUGAUCGUUCUGAUUCAACUGGGAGAGAAGGACCGUUU